UUCUGGUUGAUCCGCCGGACCUGACUGCUAUCGGAUUGAUACUAAGCCAUGCGAGUCAUUGUAGUAAUACAAGGCAUACGGCUCAGUAACGCGUAGUCAACCUAACCUAUGGACGGGAAUAACCUCGGGAAACUGAGUAUAAUGCCCGAUAGAACAUUAUGCCUGGAAUGGUUUAUGUUCCAAAUGAUUUAUCGCCGUAGGAUGGGACUGCGGCCUAUCAGUUUGUUGGUGAGGUAAUGGCCCACCAAGACUAUUACAGGUACGGGCUCUGAGAGGAGUAGCCCGGAGAUGGGUACUGAGACACGGACCCAGGCCCUAUGGGGCGCAGCAGGCGAGAAAACUUUGCAAUGUGCGAAAGCACGACAAGGUUAAUCCGAGUGGUUUCUGCUAAAGGAACCUUUUGUUAGUCCUAGAAACACUAACGAAUAAGGGGUGGGCAAGUUCUGGUGUCAGCCGCCGCGGUAAAACCAGCACCUCAAGUGGUCAGGAUGAUUAUUGGGCCUAAAGCAUCCGUAGCCGGAUCUGUAAGUUUUCGGUUAAAUCUGUACGCUCAACGUACAGGCUGCCGGGAAUACUGCAGAUCUAGGGAGUGGGAGAGGUAGACGGUACUCGGGAGGAAGGGGUAAAAUCCUUUGAUCUCUCGAUGACCACCUGUGGCGAAGGUGGUCUACCAGAACACGUCCGACGGUGAGGGAUGAAAGCUGGGGGAGCAAACCGGAUUAGAUACCCGGGUAGUCCCAGCUGUAAACUAUGCAAACUCAGUGAUGCAUUGACUUGUGGUCAAUGCAGUGCUGCAGGGAAGCCGUUAAGUUUGCCGCCUGGGAAGUACGUACGCAAGUAUGAAACUUAAAGGAAUUGGCGGGGGAGCACCACAAGGGGUGAAGCCUGCGGUUCAAUUGGAUUCAACGCCGGG
rnacentral:rRNA from 1 species